rnacentral:lncRNA from 1 species
UCUGUACAUAUGUCUGAUAAGGGCAGUCGAAAAAAAACUCAUGCAAUUACAUUUCAUUAAAAUCAAACUAGUGUGUCAUAGUAUAUGACAUAGCUACGAAGCAACAGUUACUUCCUAUUAUUUCAUAAUAGAUUGUUUUCAUUUUAAUUAAGAGAGUUGAAGACCACAAAAAAAUCACAUUGAGGGCCAGAUGCAGCCUGUGGGCCGCCAGUUUGACACCCUUGUUUUAAAGCAACCACUCACUUCCCAGGAAUUUGCAGUCAAGCUUACUUUACUUUUCAGUGUGUGUUAUUGGGUGGGCUGCUACAAUAAACUAUCUGUGGUCCAAUUACAGAAAUGUAAAAAUUAUUAUAGCUGUUUAUGCAUGAAAUGCCUUUGUUUGAAAAGCUUUUACUAAUUAUAAUAAUAAAGAAACACAAUGUUGUAAUACAAAAUAAAAACUAUAAAACUGAUGAUGAUUGAGGAGUGGUCUGCCUGGCCUGAAGUUUUCAACCUAAUGGACUUAGAGAGAAAUAAGACCAUUUUCAUAUGUUACAAUUUCUUGAUAGAAAUUAAAAAAAUUAUAAAAUUUACCGCUAAAAACUCUAAAAGUGAUACAAGAACAAGUCAAAAAAUAUGAACUAUUAAUAAAAAAUGACAAUAU